GGCGCUUAAUAUGAGAUAGCAAGGUAUUAGUCAAACUAUUCACGUCAGUCAUUUGGCGCUAGUGUCACGCGAUCAUCACAGCAACACCGCUAAACGUCUGCCAGUGCGUGCCAGUGUAUAAAACGUAGUGAUUAUAUCGUGGGUUAAGAACUAGAGUAGCGUAAGGGCAAAAAUACAAAAAAAAAAUUUUUUUCACCAUGCGUUUAUUUAAUCCCCAUAUUUUUAUGUGCCAGAAAACUGGAUCGAUGUAGUGUGUUGAUUGCUUAGUACAACAAUAACGUAUAUAAAAAAAAGAUAUUUGUUUAUUGCCAAAAUGAAGUGUUUCUGCUUACAACAAUCUUGACAUUAUUUUCUCAAAAAAAUUACGAGCACAACGAUCGUAACUCGAUUUGCAGAGCGAAUAAGACACCAAAAUAUGCCUUCAAUGUAAUCGCUUAAAUAACGUAUCUUGCCAUACGUUAAUAGCGCAGAAAGUUUGAUUAUGUAAGCUUAGUUUGUUUCGUGCCAAAUAAACGUAAAGUACCGUUACUGUCCUUGUUUCGUAAGCUUCCGUAAUUUUUCUUCCUGCCAAAAAAACGUAAGGGUGGGAUACGCUACUAUGGCACUAAUUUAUGGAAGAGCUAAAAUGACGUAUGUCAACCAGUUUUUGAAAAAUAAAUUUUAUUAAAAUGAAACCAUAUUUUGAUUGACCAAAAAGUUACAUUAUUCUGUAGCCGAUAAAUAAAGUUUUAUUAUUAGUAAAAAUCAGAUAUCUAACUACUAUAGAUUUACCCCACAAAAAGGGCUAUAAGAUAACAGUAGGUAAAUUUGAGUUGUUUUCGGGCUCUCCUGAGAAGUUGUCAUUUUGGCCUUACGCUACUCUAGUUCUUAACCCUCGAUAUACUCUCUGGUGCGUGCCGGCCACCGGCGAUAGAAGUACGUGUGCGUGUAGUUAUUACAUUUUCGUAAAACAAAAUAUUUUUCGUCAAAUGUUUACAAGAUGCCUCCCAUCAAAAGGAAGACAUGGGACCAUAAUGCCAUGAUACAAACUGUGAAUGCAGUUCGAAGAAACGAAAUGGGUUACUUAAGAGCUAAAAAAGAUUUGAAAAAGAAAAGAGUUGCAGAAGUUAGUUUCAGUUCCGAAGACGAUGACAUGUCUGAGCUCGCGGAUAGCAGUGGGGAUGAGUAUGAUGUUGAAUGUCCCUACUGCAGCGGAAACUUUUCACAAGAUACAA